GUGAACGCUGGCGGCGUGCUUAACACAUGCAAGUCGAACGGUAACAGGAAGUAGCUUGCUACUUUGCUGACGAGUGGCGCACGGGUGAGUAAUAUAUAGUUAAUGUGCCUCGAAGACUGGGAUAGCCACUGGAAACGGUGAUUAAUACUAGAUACACCUUCAUAUCACAAGGUAUGAAGGGAAACGUCUUUUCGCUUUGGGAUCAGACUAUAUCCUAUCAGCUAGUUGGUGAGGUAAUGGCUCACCAAGGCAAUGACGGGUAGCGGUUCUGAGAGGAUGAUCCGCCACACUGGUACUGAGACACGGACCAGACUCCUACGGGAGGCAGCAGUGAGGAAUAUUGCACAAUGGGCGAAAGCCUGAUGCAGCAACGCCGCGUGGAGGAUGACGCAUUUCGGUGUGUAAACUCCUUUUAUAUGUCAAGAAAAUGACGGUAGCAUAUGAAUAAGCACCGGCUAACUCCGU
rnacentral:rRNA from 1 species